UAUUGGACAAUGGGCGCAAGCCUGAUCCAGCCAUGCCGCGUGGGUGAAGAAGGCCUUCGGGUUGUAAAGCCCUUUUGUUGGGAAAGAAAUCGUGCGGGUUAAUACCCCGCGCGGAUGACGGUACCCAAAGAAUAAGCACCGGCUAACUUCGUGCCAGCAGCCGCGGUAAUACGAAGGGUGCAAGCGUUACUCGGAAUGACUGGGCGUAAAGCGUGCGUAGGCGGUUUGUUAAGUCCGUUGUGAAAGCCCUGGGCUCAACCUGGGAAUUGCAGUGGAUACUGGCAAGCUAGAGUGCGGUAGAGGAUGGUGGAAUUCCCGGUGUAGCGGUGAAAUGCGUAGAGAUCGGGAGGAACACCCGUGGCGAAGGCGGCCAUCUGGACCAGCACUGACGCUGAGGCACGAAAGCGUGGGGAGCAAACAGG
rnacentral:rRNA from 1 species